rnacentral:ncRNA from 1 species
UAAAUUGCUAUGAAAAGAUGAGUAUAAUUCUAUGUGAAUUCACAGAGAGCCCGGAAGAUGGAAAAGGGUAAUGUCACCGAAUUAGAAGAUGGUCUUGAAGCAGUGCAUGUUUGAAUCCUUUGGAUGAGGACAUGAUGGGUGCGCCCAUUAGCGCGUUACGGUUUACCAGGCUUGACCUGGGCGAACCGGUCGAGGCAUGUUGUGUGAGCAAUAUGCAAAAUAAGGUGGUAACACGUCAAUGAGACGCCCUUAGC